rnacentral:lncRNA from 1 species
AUGGAACUAAAGAGAGCGUAUCAUAUUUGGCCUUCUAAUUUCUUCCUUUUGGGUGGGGUCGUCUUGGAUCUCCCUGUCUUAACUGAGUGUUGCAGACUCACACAGGGCUUCCCAGGGCCCAGACUGAUGAUGGAUGAUAGGCUGAACAGACACUUGGGAAUGUCUUGCUCUUUGCAGAUACUGUGUGUGUCCUGGGCAGAGGAGGAGAGUCAUAUGCAAGCCUGUAGCACUGUCCUAUGAGCAAAAACUGCAGACAUCUUUGAGCGAUAGAAGAGACAACUGAGCUGGGGGCCAGUUCAGUGUGGACCUACAUUUCAACCACCAUGAUGAAGGUUUGGGACUGUUAUGGUCACAUUUGCUUUUUGGUCUUUAUAAUACUGAGAUAUACUUGUGAGAAUACAGCUGUGCUGGAGAAGCCAGGACUAAGAAGUAAUUUAAUAUUCAUUCUUAAGUGUCAGGAAGGUUACUAUACGAAAGCAGGUGACCAGCUACUCCUCCCUGAGCUCAGAGAGUGAAGACAUGGGUGUAAACCUCUACGAAUGAGACUCAGGUUACAGUCAUGGAAGACAUAGUGAGCUUCAGCUGAGUCCUGUUCUCGGGCCUGUCUCGGACACCAUACCCCCAUCUGUUAGUAGAAUGGCAACGUGGUCUAGAAAGAGCACUGGACAAGGAACCCUGGAGUGCUGUAGAGACCUUUUUAACUGCCAUGACCUUAGGCAUGCCAGACGUGUCCGUUUCUGGAUCUCAUUUUCUUCUCUUUUUUGAAUAAGGAAGGGCAUGGGUUAUGGUCUCUGAGCUUCUUCCUUUUACUUCAACCACUGGUUCUAUGCUAAGUGUAAGUGUUGGAAUGUAGAUACUCUUGAGUGUUUUCCUAAACCGGAAUCAGUUGUCUGUAACCCAGGUCAAUACACUAGCUGCUGUAGCAAACGAAUCUCAAAACAUACAACGGCCCAUGCAUGGUAGAAGUUUACUUCUUGUUCACAAAAGGUCUAAAAUGUGUUUCCCUAAUGAGCAGGCCGUUUUCCUCCAAGUGGUGAUACAGGGAAGCAGGAUCUUUCCUCCUUGCGGUUCUGACAUCUUAGGUACUUGACUCCAAGGUAGUCAUGCUCAUUUACAUUGAGCUGGUGGAAGAGGAAAAAGCAUAGGCAAUUGAGCCUGAGAGAUUUUUAAGGACCGACUAGGAGGGGUGUGCAUUAAUUCUGGUCAAAUUCCAUUGGUGAGAAAUCACUCACAUAGAAACACCUAAAUACAGAAGAGUUUGGGCAAGGUAGUUCAGCUCUGUGCCCAGGAAAAAGAGGAAAUGGAUUUAGACAAUAGGAAACAAUCUGUGCCAUAGAAAGGAGAGUUUAAAGGAGAAAGAGUUAUGUGAAUCGAAGAAGAGUAAGAUUAGGGUGAUGUUAAUUAUAUUCCUUUUUCUGAAGAGCUAGAAGUCCUCAGCUGCUGAAGGAUGGCAGGACCUGGGUUUAAAAAUAUUUUCUGGCCCACAAGGAAGAAUCCUGGGCAAAGACUCAAGACACACUAGGUUCUGGUUUGGUUGUCUCAAACUAGCUAUGGGACUGAAUAUAAUUUAUCUGACCGUUAUGUUUAUAGUUUCUUCAUCUGUUAAUUGUAACCAAAAUGCAUACUCUAACUACCUAACAGAAUUGUUUUAAAAGUCAGGUAUAGCAACAUCAUGCACAUUUUGAAAAAAACAAAACAAUGAUUAAAAUGGAGAAUGAGUUUAAAUUGUAGAUGGAGAAAAUUAAGUUGGAUAAGGAAAAAAGAAAUAAGAACUUUCCCCAUAGUGAAACAAGGAAAAUUUUUAGGGAAUGUGCAAAUAACUUCAAGAAAUCAAUGGGAAACAAUUUUGACAAGAUUGGAAAGAAGGCUCCAACUCGAAGGGUAGCUUGCGGGGGUUGGCACAGGAGACAUGGACUGUGGUUCUGGCACUACACGCAGAUUACUGUUUGACCUUGAGUGAAUUUCUUCCCCUCUUGGGGCUUCAGUUUCCCCUUUGCAAAACAAAAGGAUUGAACUAAAUAAUUUUGCUA